rnacentral:rRNA from 1 species
CGGGGUGAUGGGGACUCACAGGAGACUGCCGGGGUCAACUCGGAAGAAGGUGGGGACGACGUCAAGUCAUCAUGCCCCUUAUGUCUUGGGCUGCACACGUGCUACAAUGGCCGGUACAAUGAGCUGCGAUGCCGCGAGGCGGAGCGAAUCUCAAAAAGCCGGUCUCAGUUCGGAUUGGGGUCUGCAACUCGACCCCAUGAAGUCGGAGUUGCUAGUAAUCGCAGAUCAGCAUUGCUGCGGUGAAUACGUUCCCGGGCCUUGUACACACCGCCCGUCACGUCACGAAAGUCGGUAACACCCGAAGCCGGUGGCCCAACCCCUUGUGGGAGGGACCUGUCAAAGGUGGGACUGGCAAUUGGGACAAAUUCGUAACAAGGU